rnacentral:tRNA from 1 species
GUCUCGGUGGCCAAGUGGUAAGGCGUCGGUCUCGUAAACCGAAGAACCAGGGUUCAAUCCCCUGCUGAGGCA